rnacentral:rRNA from 1 species
UCAACCUGAGAGUUUGAUUCUGGCUCAGAACGAACGCUGGCGGCAGGCUUAACACAUGCAAGUCGAACGCACUCUUCGGAGUGAGUGGCAGACGGGUGAGUAACGCGUGGGAACAUGCCUAUCGGUACGGAAUAGCUCCGGGAAACUGGAAUUAAUACCGUAUACGUCCUUCGGGAGAAAGAUUUAUCGCCGAUAGAUUGGCCCGCGUUAGAUUAGCUAGUUGGUGGGGUAAAAGCCUACCAAGGCUACGAUCUAUAGCUGGUCUGAGAGGAUGAUCAGCCACACUGGGACUGAGACACGGCCCAGACUCCUACGGGAGGCAGCAGU